rnacentral:rRNA from 1 species
GCUUAGAGUUUGAUCCUGGCUCAGAUUGAACGCUGGCGGCAAGCCUAACACAUGCAAGUCGAGCGGUAACAGAUCGCUGUGAUCCCUUCGGGGUGAACUUGAUGCUGACGAGCGGCGGACGGGUGAGUAACGCGUAGGAAUCUACCCAGUAGCGGGGGAUAGCUCGGGGAAACUCGAAUUAAUACCGCAUACGCCCUAAGGGGGAAAGCAGGGGAUCUUCGGACCUUGCACUAUUGGAUGAGCCUGCGUUGGAUUAGCUAGUUGGUGGGGUAAAGGCCUACCAAGGCGACGAUCCAUAGCUGGUCUGAGAGGAUGAUCAGCCACACUGGGACUGAGACACGGCCCAGACUCCUACGGGAGGCAGCAGUGGGGAAUAUUGGACAAUGGGCGCAAGCCUGAUCCAGCUAUGCCGCGUGUGUGAAGAAGGUUCUAGGAUUGUAAAGCACUUCAAGCAGUGAAGAAGGCCAUGUAGUUAAUA